GACUUGUAACGCUAGCUAUCUUUAGGUCUCUAGAUAUUGCACCCUCCAUAUGCAAUCAGAUUCUAAAACUUCUGAUAAAAAAUGCAUCUCCUGGAAAUGUCUGUGAAAAGGUUUGUAGACAACUAGUCAGUGUGGUAGACAGAACAAUGGAACCUAAGAAUAUGUAUAUGUUAUCUUGGCACAAGGGACUUUGCAGGUGUGAUCAAAUUAAGGAUCUUGAGGUGGAGAGAUUAUUCUGGAUUAUCUGGGUUGUCCCAGUGUGAUCACAAGGGUCUUAAUAUGGGAAAGGGGGAGGCAGGGGAGUCAGAUCAGAUUCAGAGAGAGAUUUGAAGAUGCGAUACUGCCGGCUUUAAAUGCCCAUUGAACUCUGCUUCAAAAAAUGAAAACACACCUCUAUAAAAUGUAUAUUGGGAAUAAACUUUGUAUUUACAUACAUUGGGGAAUUUUAAAAAAAUGUAAUGUUUGGACAUUACAUAUUUUACCAUAUUACUUUGCUAUAUUUGGACAUUCCAUAUUUUACCAUAUUACUUUGUUAUAAAAUUAUAAAUUUAACUUUUAAUACAGAUUGCCAGAAUAUUCUAGAUUAGAGAUUAGGUUUUUGUUUUCCUCAAGACAUAAAACAAGUAUGAACAUUCUAAACUGCUGGAUGAAUCUGAAAGACAGUAAUUUCAAAACUCAAUUUAUACUCAUGUUAAAUAUAACUACAUUAAGAGUUUAAAAUUUCAUGGGAGAAAAUAUAAUAAAGAGAUAGGAUCAUUUAUAGUCUUAAGAAUAAUGUUGGUUUCCCAAGUGCGUUUCUUAGCAAUUAAAGCAUAAGGUGAAUUGAAAUUUGCUUCAUAGGCAGUUUGACUGUAUGUAUCAGAGAAUGAAAAGAGGACAUUUGUAGUAAUGCAUGGAAACUUGCUGCUUCAAAUUAAAGUUCUCCUCUGCUGUUGUAGAAUGGAUUCCAUACAGUAGCUAGUUGUGGAUGAUUCAGAAAAUUAUGAGUUUAGAGUCCCAGUUGUUAAUUUAUAAGUUUUGUGGGGAAGUAUCACCUGCAUUUGUGCUGAAUAAAAUAUACGUGGAUUCUUUAAAAAAAAUCACAAUUUUUUUCUAAAUUUAUUUUUUAAAAAGUUUUUAGAGAGAAUAAAUACAAAAUUAGUCAAUUUGAACAUGUUUUGUUCACAUUCUUUAAAUUGCUUGUUGGUCUCCUUAACAAUUUUUCUUUUCCUUUGACCCUCUGCUUUUCUCAUUUUUAUUUUCCUCCUUGAAGAAACGAUUCAUUCUAAGGGCUUUAAACAUUUCUUUUUGUGUUGAUGUUUAAAUCUUUUAUUAUUAGUCUCAUAUUCUCCCUCAAGACUCAGAAUUCUAGUACUCCUAAUGAACAUUUAUGUCCGUUGGGCAGUCCUGCUGCCAUCCUAAGCUACACAUACUGGGAAUGGAACUCAAUCAUCUUUUCUUUGCAAAUCAGUGUCUCUUACCAAUUUCUUUCAUUCUGUUUACCCAGUCUUCUAGGUUUGAAAUUUUGGGGUUGUUUUUAGGAUUUUGUAUUGCCUUCAUUUUCUUAAUUAAUCAGAGUCCUUCUAGUUCUAGUCUAGAAAUAUGUUUCAUAUCUGCCAUUCAUGUUCCACUAUGAUUUUGACUGUCUUGCAGUUCCUGAUAAUUUUAUGAAUAGAUUAAUAUAAUGCUGUUUAACUUAUUUUCUAUAUGCUUAAUUCAUUCUAGACAUAGCUGGAAGACAGAUCUUAAAUUAUAACUUUUUUUUUCCUAUAUGUUAUUCAAUGAAGAAUAAACCUAGUUUAGUAUUUCACUUGGUAAAGUGUAGUACGUCAUGCAUGAAUUGCAGCAUCAGGAUCACUUGUGAUAUUUGCCAGAGGUGGCCAUCCCACAUCACCUAAAUCAAAUCUCUGGGCAUGGAUUCUGGGAAUCAGCAUUUUUAGAAGGCAGCAUAAGUGAUUCCGAUGCACACUAACAUUUGAGAACUACUGGAAAGGAUAAAAUUCAACCUAAAAUUCAAAACCCUUUAACAUAUGGCCCUACCUUGUAUAUUCCAGUUUAUUUUUCACUAGUUCUAAUAUAAUCUUUUGCUCACUCUAACAGUCACUCUAGAUAUGCCACGAUCAAAUUGCUUCUGAGAAUUUGUUUAUAACCCCUUUAUUCAGAAUGCCUUAUUUUUUUUUUUUGCAUCCAUCCUUCAAGCCCUUCUUCUUUAUGGACUCUUUUAAGCUAUGUAUUAGUGAGCACCUACCAUUUAUGUCAGACACUUCAUGGAAAAUUUUUACUAUCCAUUAAGCAACCUAGGUAUAAUUGUUCCCAUUUUACAACCAAGGACAUUGAGACUUAGUGCAGUUAAGCAGCUUGCCCUAAGCCGUACAGGGUAGAAUAUUGAGAAGGAUAUUAAAUGGAG
rnacentral:lncRNA from 1 species